AUUUUCUGCAAAUCCACCAUUCUGAUCUAGAAGGUCAUUGACUAAGCUCCUCGACUUGCGAUGUCGGCUCAAAGGCUUGUUAGAAGCGGGGAAGGGCGUACGGUACAGACCAUCUUCUUGAAGAAUAGGAUCUCUUUUACUUGCUCAUUGCAGGGGAUACUUUUCGCUGGGGAGAUUUUGAAUUCAAGAACUGGAAUGAAUCGAUUGGCUUACAGUGCAAAUGGUAAUCCCGGGUCUUGUCAUUACUCUGUCUGCAAAACAUAUCACCAUCGUUAGCCAAGGUGAAUCCUGUAAAGUAGUGAUACAUUAUAUUUAAAGGCUACCUGUCAUUAUGGCAAUGUGUUAUAGAUUAAAAGAAGGGAGGACUUACCAUGGUCAAAACAUAGUCAUUACCUCUUAAAGCUCUCAUUCUCUUCUCUCUCUCACUUACGCAAUCUAAUGAAAGUUGCUUUAAGAGUCACUCCUCGGAUCAAAGAAUGGGUUUUAAUCUUGGACAAUACCAGCAUAUUGAACAGAAAACUGGGAUUUUUCUAUUUUUAACAACAGUUGCACAAUCUCUCCCAAGCACAUGUAAAAAUCAAAAUUUCUUGUGCUCAACAAGUUCUUUAACUGGAUAUCAAGAAAAUAUCAAAUAAAAGUGUCAUUUUUGGAAGGUAUUAAAAUUUACGGGAUAACAUAUGAAAUGCAGGUCCCAAAUAUAAAGUAAAUGUUUAGAACAAAAUACAGCAGGAAAGUCUCAGAGUCCAGACUUCAGAGUCACACUCCAGAAAAUAUGCUGGAGGGCAAUCAAAAUUCACCGCAGACUAAAAAAUCGUCUACAUAUAAAAUUCACCGCCCUGUCACCCUGUCACCCUCCUUCCAUCAUGGAUCCAGGCCUCUUCCUAUUGCCAAGGAAAACACCUGACACUACUACCUUUGUGAUACCAACCAAAACUACCAUGCAUCUCCACAGGACCACAGCCUUUAAAUCACCGUCAAGACACUUGGUGCACUAUAAAAUUGUUAUCUCCUUUCCCUAGAAAAUAUUCAUACAUGUAGCACCACAAGGCAAAGCGCAAAUUCAAUUCCACUUUGAAAAUAGAGGCAUCAACCAUAAUUUUAUUUCCCAGCACAAAUGAGAAAAAAAACCCAAAAAGCUAUUCCGACGUUCAUUAUAUGAUCUCACUCCAAGUCUCCAAGUUAUAACUUCCAACUUCUCCGUCACGUUCUUUCUAGUAUCUAGUAUUUUCAUUCUCUAAAAUGGCAACAUUAGGAAAGCGCUAACCAAGUUGUAUCCUUGUAUAGUGUUACCAAAAAAUAAAAAUAGAAAGAUCAUAAUGUUUUCCUAAUUAAACUCCCAAAUUUCAAACCAUGAGG